rnacentral:lncRNA from 1 species
GCAGCCGUAGCCCAAGGAGCAGCCGAAGUCGUAGUCGUAGCCCCAGACGUAGAAGUAGAAGUAGAAGCUACGAGAGAAGACCACCACGCAAGUCUAAAUUUGAUCAGAUGGCACCAAGUGCUGAUGUGUUGGUUCCCUCUGAAUCUAUAGCAGCAGAGCAGCUUCCUUAUGUUGCAUCAAGCAUGGACCAGCCGAUCAAUCCUCUAUUGGAACCCUCGUCUGACAGAGAUGCUGCUGCUGGACUCUAAUUCUAAAGGUGAAGGUUAAGAUUUUUUGUUUGAUGGAUUAUAAAAAAAAAAUAGCUAUUGUGGUUGGGGACUCCUCUUGACAAUUUUGGCAGAGAGACUCUUUGUAGAAGCAAAAUCAAAAUGGGAAGCGCCGUGCUUUAGUGCUAUGAUCUACAUUCUACAGUUGGUGUGCACUGGAGGAGCAGGAGUCAUUAAUGUUUCUUUUGUAUUGCCCAGGGGUAAAAUAUAAUAUAUAUAUAUAUAUGUAUGUAUAUCCACCCCCUCCCCUCCCCUCCCCUUUACUUUUCAGUUUAUCUUCUACACAUUUGACUGUUUUAGAUGUACUUUGAUGAUGUGGCAUGCAUUGUUUGUUGGGGACUUGACCUAAAUUCUUGACCUCG